AGGGUCGCUGCAUAAUCGCUUCCUUUUAUUCUUGGGGGGGGAAAAAAAGCUGACACUGCUUAACCGGGAAAAUGGUUUCAGGUGGCAUUCCCGCUAAACAGGAGUGACCCGAGCUGCGAGUUACAAACGGGAGACACACCGGUAAGGGCCUGGAAUAAAGAUGAAGGAGUUAAAGCCAUACUGUGUCUCUGAGUGUUUACUUUGACUGAUAAGGGAAUAGGAAACAGGAGGACACGAUCAAGUUUGCUAAGAAUCUUUGAGUGCGAGCAGCAGCAGAGGGAGGAUGAACUCAGAAGACUGCAGAUAAGGAUGCAAUCCCGGUGAUUCCUCCUGGUUUCUGCCUCCAGUUUGAUUUGAAUAGUUUUCUUCAAAAAGUUAAAAAAAAAAACUUUCCUCAUACUAUAGAAGAUCUGAGAAUUAAGUCCAAUCACAGUUUUAUCUCUUAUGAAUUCAGACUUAAAAUCUCCUAACUGCUUUCCUGCCAUGAUCCAGUAAAUUCUGGGCAAAUUAAUUUGCAUUAGAGAUGGACCACUAAGUGACGUUUGUAUUUCAGGGAAAUUCUGGCCUGGUGAACAUUCAAGGGGUUCAGCCAACCUCACUAUGGAAUGAGAAUCAUAGGACUAUAUUUUACAUUUUGUGCAAAGUAUUCCUGCCUUCAGCAACAACAUUAUAAUGCAAAAAUAGUCUGCAACAUAUUUCCUGAUUUUACUAUUUCAUGCAUUAUUUGUUGCUGCAAUGCAUAUAUUGAGUUUGUGCAAGAUGUACUCUUUGCUAUUGAUUGUAUUGAAUGAAUGACUCAAUCCAAGUCAAACAUGUCAAGGUCUUUUCGAAUGCUGAAUAUUAGAUCAUAUUAAUGCAGUUGUCAGAAAUCAACAAAAUAAAAAAAACUAUUCUCAGAUGAACUUGCAAUUGUGCCUG